UUAGUCGGACGGUUUCCAAAUAUAAUAUACUUUGUUUUACUUAAAUUUAAUGUCAGUUUAUUUGUGUCAAACCAACUCUGUAAUUUUUCCAUUUCAAUACCCACAGUAUCCAGUAGUUGAUCAAGGUCAUCCCCACUGCAAAGCAGGUUUGUGUCAUCUGCAAAAACUAUGGCCUUGAGUAACCUGGAGACCUUGCACAUAUCAUUGACAUACAAAAUAAAUAACAAGGGGCCUAAUAUUGAGCCCUGAGGAACCCCACACUUUACCUGCUUUAGUUUUGAUUUACAGUCCAUAGG